UACGGGGGGGGCAAGCGUUGUUCGGAAUUACGGGGCGUAAAGGGCUCGUAGGCGGCCAACUAAGUCGGAUGUGAAAUCCCCAGGCUUAACCUGGGAACUGCAUCCGAUACUGGAUGGCUUGAAUCCGGGAGAGGGAUGCAGAAUUCCAGGUGUAGCGGUGAAAUGCGUAGAUAUCUGGAGGAAUACCGGUGGCGAAGGCGGCAUCCUGGACCGGCAUUGACGCUGAGGAGCGAAAGCUAGGGGAGCAAACGGG
rnacentral:rRNA from 1 species